GAUCAUGGCUCAGGAUGAACGCUAGCUACAGGCUUAACACAUGCAAGUCGAGGGGCAGCAUUUUUCUAGCAAUAGAAGAGAUGGCGACCGGCGCACGGGUGAGUAACACGUAUCCAACCUGCCGAUAACUCCGGGAUAGCCUUUCGAAAGAAAGAUUAAUACCGGGUAGUAUACGAAUAUCGCAUGAUAUUUUUAUUAAAGAAUUUCGGUUAUCGAUGGGGAUGCGUUCCAUUAGUUUGUUGGCGGGGUAACGG
rnacentral:rRNA from 1 species